rnacentral:rRNA from 1 species
UGUAGGUUAAGUUAUUAAGGGCGCACGGCGAAUGCCUUGGCACUAGGAGCCGAAGAAGGACGGCACUAACACCGAUAUGCUUCGGGGAGCUGUAAGUGAGCUUUGAUCCGGAGAUUUCCGAAUGGGGGAACCCACUACGUUUAAUCGCGUAGUAUCUUGACGUGAAUACAUAGCGUCUUGAAGGCAGACCCAGGGAACUGAAACAUCUAAGUACCUGGAGGAAGAGAAAGAAAAAUCGAUUCCCUGAGUAGCGGCGAGCGAAACGGGAAGAGCCCAAACCAAGAGGCUUGCCUCUUGGGG